AUUGUAAUUAUUAAUCUUCAACGAGGAAUUCCUAGUAAGUAUGAGUCAUCAGCUCGUGCUGAUUACGUCCCUGCCCUUUGUACACACCGCCCGUCGCUCCUACCGAUUGAGCAAUCCGGUGAAUUAUUCGGACCGUGCACUUGUUGGAAACAACUUGUGUCUUGGAAAGUCUUUUGAACCUUAUUGCUUAGAGGAAGGAGAAGUCGUAACAAGGUUUCCGUAGGUGAACCUGCGGAAGGAUCAUUCACACG
rnacentral:rRNA from 1 species